GAACGAACGCUGGCGGCAUGCUUAACACAUGCAAGUCGAACGAGAAAGUCCUUCGGGGACGAGUAAAGUGGCGCACGGGUGAGUAACGCGUAGAUAACCUGUCCUGAUGUACGGGAUAACCCACCGAAAGGUGGACUAAUACCGUAUAAUUUGGUUUUUCAUAAGAAUUAUCAGGAAAGAUGGCCUCUAUUUAUAAGCUAUCGCAUUUUGAGGGGUCUGCGUACCAUUAGCUUGUUGGUGGGGUAAUGGCCUACCAAGGCUUCGAUGGUUAGCGGGUCUGAGAGGAUGAUCCGUCACACUGGCACUGAAACACGGGCCAGACUCCUACGGGAGGCAGCAGUGAGGAAUAUUGCGCAAUGGGGGAAGCCCUGACGCAGCGAUGCCGCGUGAGUGAGGAAGGCCUUAGGGUCGUAAAGCUCUGUCGGAAGGGAAGAAGUGGUAUAUGGUUAAUACCCAUAUACCUUGACGGUACCUUCAAAGGAAGCACCGGCUAACUCCGUGCCAGCAGCCGCGGUAAUACGGAGGGUGCAAGCGUUGUUCGGAAUCACUGGGCGUAAAGGGCGCGCAGGCGGUUUGGUAAGUCAGAUGUGAAAGCCCACGGCUCAACCGUGGAAGUGCAUUUGAAACUGCCAGGCUUGAGUACCAGAGGGGAAAGUGGAAUUCCCGGUGUAGAGGUGAAAUUCGUAGAUAUCGGGAGGAAUACCGGUGGCGAAGGCGACUUUCUGGCUGGAUACUGACGCUGAGGCGCGAAAGCGUGGGGAGCAAACAGGGUUAGAUACCCUGGUAGUCCACGCUGUAAACGAUGAGUGCUAGGUGUUGGUGGUAUCGAAUCCAUCAGUGCCGUAGCUAACGCGAUAAGCACUCCGCCUGGGGAGUACGGUCGCAAGACUGAAACUCAAAGGAAUUGACGGGGGCCCGCACAAGCGGUGGAGCAUGUGGUUUAAUUCGACGCAACGCGAAGAACCUUACCAGGGCUUGACAUCUACCUGACCGGUCUGGAAACAGGCUUUUCCCUUUUGGGACAGGUAGACAGGUGGUGCAUGGUUGUCGUCAGCUCGUGUCGUGAGAUGUUGGGUUAAGUCCCGCAACGAGCGCAACCCCUACCGCUAGUUGCUAACGUGUAAUGGCGAGGACUCUAGCGGAACUGCCGUCGCAAGACGGAGGAAGGUGGGGAUGACGUCAAAUCAUCAUGCCCCUUAUGUCCUGGGCUACACACGUGCUACAAUGGGCUGUACAGAGGGAAGCGAAGCCGUGAGGUGGAGCAAAACCCCAAAAGCAGGUCUAAGUUCGGAUUGCAGUCUGCAACUCGACUGCAUGAAGGCGGAAUCGCUAGUAAUCGCAGGUCAGCAUACUGCGGUGAUACGUUCCCGGGCCUGCACUCACCG
rnacentral:rRNA from 1 species